GCAAGUCGAACGGGACCUUCGGGUCUAGUGGCGCACGGGUGCGUAACGCGUGGGAAUAUACCCUUUGGUGCGGAAUAAUAUUUGGAAACGAAUACUAAUACCGCAUAAUAGCUCCGGCUCAAAGAUUUAUCGCCAAAGGAUUAGCCCGCGUCUGAUUAGGUAGUUGGUGGGGUAAAAGCCUACCAAGCCGACGAUCAGUAGGGGGUCUUAGAGGAUGAUC
rnacentral:rRNA from 1 species